GCCGGGGUGGCUUAGCAGGUUAGAGCGUCGGACUCAUAAUCCGAAGGUCGCGUGUUCAAGUCACGCCCCCGGCA
rnacentral:tRNA from 1 species